rnacentral:rRNA from 1 species
AUAUCAAUAAGCGGAGGAAAAGAAACCAACAGGGAUUGCCUCAGUAACGGCGAGUGAAGCGGCAAUAGCUCAAAUUUGAAAUCUGGCUCUUUCAGAGUCCGAGUUGUAAUUUGCAGAGGGCGCUUUGGCGUCGGCAGCAGCCUAAGUUCCUUGGAACAGGUCAUCAUAGAGGGUGAGAAUCCCGUAUGUGGCUGCUUGUCUUCGCCAUGUAAAGCCCCUUCGAUGAGUCGAGUUGUUUGGGAAUGCAGCUCUAAAUGGGAGGUAAAUUUCUUCUAAAGCUAAAUAUUGGCCAGAGACCGAUAGCGCACAAGUA